rnacentral:rRNA from 1 species
AUUGAACGCUGGCGGCAUGCUUUACACAUGCAAGUCGAACGGCAGCGCGGGCUUCGGCCUGGCGGCGAGUGGCGAACGGGUGAGUAAUGCAUCGGAACGUGCCCAGUAGUGGGGGAUAGCACGGCGAAAGCCGGAUUAAUACCGCAUACGACCUGAGGGUGAAAGCGGGGGACCGAAAGGCCUCGCGCUAUAGGAGCGGCCGAUGUCGGAUUAGCUAGUUGGUGGGGUAAAGGCUUACCAAGGCGACGAUCCGUAGCUGGUCUGAGAGGACGACCAGCCACACUGGGACUGAGCCACGGCCCAGACUCCUACGGGAGGCAGAAGUGGGGAAUUUUGGACAAUGGGGGCAACCCUGAUCCAGCCAUGCCGCGUGCGGGAAGAAGGCCUUCGGGUUGUAAACCGCUUUUGUUCGGGAAGAAAUCCUCUGGGCUAAUACCCCGGGGGGAUGACGGUACCGGAAGAAUAAGCACCGGCUAACUACGUG